rnacentral:rRNA from 1 species
UGGGGAAUAUUGCACAAUGGGCGAAAGCCUGAUGCAGCGACGCCGCGUGCGGGAUGAAGGCCUUCGGGUUGUAAACCGCUUUUGAUUGGGAGCAAGCGAGAGUGAGUGUACCUUUCGAAUAAGCACCGGCUAACUACGUGCCAGCAGCCGCGGUAAUACGUAGGGUGCAAGCGUUAUCCGGAAUUAUUGGGCGUAAAGAGCUCGUAGGCGGUUUGUCGCGUCUGGUGUGAAAGUCCAUCGCUUAACGGUGGAUCUGCGCCGGGUACGGGCAGGCUAGAGUGCGACAGGGGAGACUGGAAUUCCCGGUGUAACGGUGGAAUGUGUAGAUAUCGGGAAGAACACCAAUGGCGAAGGCAGGUCUCUGGGUCGUCACUGACGCUGAGGAGCGAAAGCGUGGGGAGCGAACAGG